UACGUAGGGUGCGAGCGUUGUUCGGAUUUACUGGGCGUAAAGGGCGCGUAGGCGGCCUGCUAAGUCGAACGUGAAAUCCCCGAGCUCAACUCGGGAACUGCGUCCGAUACUGGCAGGCUUGAAUCCGGGAGAGGGAUGCGGAAUUCCAGGUGUAGCGGUGAAAUGCGUAGAUAUCUGGAGGAACACCGGUGGCGAAGGCGGCAUCCUGGACCGGCAUUGACGCUGAGGCGCGAAAGCCAGGGGAGCAAAGCGGG
rnacentral:rRNA from 1 species